AAUUCUGAAUUCUGGGAGGAAAAAAAGAGGAAGCAUCUGAAAAGGUGGCUUGGAUCGAGGGGAAAAAGUGCGUUGGACUCGAUGCCUCCACGACAUGGGAGACUACAAGAUCAGAAACUGAAAGACUGAGAGAUCAAGCCUUGAGUCCGCCUUUUGAUGCAGUCUCCAUGGUGACUACAGUUUCCUGGGAAGCAACAUGGACGUCUGUUCACUGAAAUUCUGGAGUUUGCUGAUGACGGAUAUAAGGCUAAUAUGACAAACUGAAACACACUUGUGACAUACUCCAAAACAAUGAAGACAACGGGAUUUAGAAGGCUCCGGGGGUGAUCCACACAUGGAUGACCAAUAGAAACGAAGGCCGUUAACCUUUCUGCUAACAGAACUCACCUUCAAACAACACAGAAGAUGCCCGCAUAUCUCUACUGCCACUUCUCAUUUACGUCUGGCUGAUUCACAGUGAACCGCAACAGUGGCCUUUUUUGGGUAAAUUCUGCAGAUUCACAUUUAAUAUGAAGAAAGCAAUACGAAGAGAACUGAACUGUUGGACAUGAGCUGAUCAUCUAUGACACAACUGCCCUCUGCUAUCUGGCAGAUAUGAAUCAAGUUGUUUUUUGGUGUCCAUCAUGUAUUUACAGUUUAGCUGUUGUUGUGCCAGAUGUGAGAACUAUGUGGAAACUAAAUCUUUCUUGCUCUUUGACCAUAUAAAUAGUCAGACAGAUAUUUAUAUUGCCU